GGGAAUGCAGCUGAAACGGUUCUAGCGUCCGGUUGAAGCCCGGAAGAAGGCGGUUCGACUCCGUCCGUUCCCGCCA
rnacentral:tRNA from 1 species